rnacentral:rRNA from 1 species
AAUAAACUAAAUAAAAUUACAUUUAAAUCCACCUUCAAUAAAAUUUUUCAAUUUUAUAUUCAUUUAAAUAAAUUUAUUGUAAUCCAUUAUAUUCUUAAUUAUAAUCUACAUCUUGAUCUGAAUUAUUUUUUAUAGUAAUUUUUAAAUAUUAUAAAUUAAUAAAAAAUAUUUUUUUAACAACGAUAUAUAAAAUUUUAAAUUAAGUAAAUUUAUUCGUGGAUUAUCAAUUAUUAAACAGAUUCCUCUAAAUGAACUAAAAUACCGCCAUAUUAUUUAAGUUUCAAUAAAUUAUUAUUUACUAUUUUAGUGUUAUAAUUUAAAUUUUUAAUAAUAGGGUAUCUAAU